rnacentral:rRNA from 1 species
AACGCGAAGAACCUUACCUACUCUUGACAUCCAGAGAACUUAGCAGAGAUGCUUUGGUGCCUUCGGGAACUCUGAGACAGGUGCUGCAUGGCUGUCGUCAGCUCGUGUUGUGAAAUGUUGGGUUAAGUCCCGCAACGAGCGCAACCCUUAUCCUUUGUUGCCAGCGGUUAGGCCGGGAACUCAAAGGAGACUGCCAGUGAUAAACUGGAGGAAGGUGGGGAUGACGUCAAGUCAUCAUGGCCCUUACGAGUAGGGCUACACACGUGCUACAAUGGCAUAUACAAAGAGAAGCGACCUCGCGAGAGCAAGCGGACCUCAUAAAGUAUGUCGUAGUCCGGAUUGGAGUCUGCAACUCGACUCCAUGAAGUCGGAAUCGCUAGUAAUCGUGGAUCAGAAUGCCACGGUGAAUACGCUCCCGGGUCUUGUACACACCG